UACGGAGGGUGCAAGCGUUAUCCGGAUUCACUGGGUUUAAAGGGUGCGUAGGAGGGCAGGUAAGUCAGGGGUGAAAUCUCCAAGCUUAACUUGGAAACUGCCGUUGAUACUAUCUGUCUUGAAUAUUGUGGAGGUGAGCGGAAUAUGUCAUGUAGCGGUGAAAUGCUUAGAUAUGACAUAGAACACCAAUUGCGAAGGCAGCUCACUACUCAAUCAUUGACUCUGAGGCACGAAAGCGUGGGGAUCAAACAGG
rnacentral:rRNA from 1 species